rnacentral:tRNA from 1 species
UGCGGGGUCGUCUAAUGGUAGGACGUCAGGCUCUGGACCUGAAAGUCCUGGUUCGAAUCCAGGCCCCGCAGCAA